UACGGAGGGUGCGAGCGUUGUCCGGAAUCACUGGGCGUAAAGGGCGCGUAGGCGGCUGGGGAAGUCGGCGGUGAAAGCCCGGAGCUCAACUCCGAGUCGGCCGUCGAGACUCCUCGGCUCGAGCUCACUAGAGGCAGAUGGAAUUCCGGGUGUAGCGGUGGAAUGCGUAGGAGAGUCCGGAAGAACACCGGUGGCGAAGGCGGUCUGCUGGGGUGAGGCUGACGCUGAUGCGCGACAGCGUGGGAGCAAACAGG
rnacentral:rRNA from 1 species